GACGAACGCUGGCGGCGUGCCUAAUACAUGCAAGUCGAGCGCUCAGGCUUGGUACUUGUACCUACUGGAUUAGCAGCGAACGGGUGAGUAACGCGUGGGUAACCUGCCUUUGAGCGGGGGACAACAUUGGGAAACGAAUGCUAAUACCGCAUAAAAUCUUUAACCACAUGUUUUAAUUUUGAAAGAUGCAAUUGCAUCCCUUAAUGAUGAUCCCGCGUUGUAUUAGCAAGUUGGUUAGGUAAAGGCUUACCAAGGCAAUGAUACUAAGCCGACCGGAGAGGGGGACGGGCCACACGGGAACGAGACCAGGGCCAAGACUCCAACGGGAGGAGCCAUAGGGGAUCUUUGGGCAAUGGGGGAAAGCCUGACGGAGAACGCCGGGGGGGGGGAUGAGGUUCUUGGGUCCGAAAACUCUGUUUGUAGGGAAAAAAGUAAGUUGGAGUGGAAAGUGCAUGAAGUGACGGUAACUAAUCAGAAAGGCACGGCUAACUACGUG
rnacentral:rRNA from 1 species